rnacentral:rRNA from 1 species
UAGUUUGACUGGGGCGGUCUCCUCCUAAAGAGUAACGGAGGAGCACGAAGGUUGGCUAAUCCUGGUCGGACAUCAGGAGGUUAGUGCAAUGGCAUAAGCCAGCUUGACUGCGAGCGUGACGGCGCGAGCAGGUGCGAAAGCAGGUCAUAGUGAUCCGGUGGUUCUGAAUGGAAGGGCCAUCGCUCAACGGAUAAAAGGUACUCCGGGGAUAACAGGCUGAUACCGCCCAAGAGUUCAUAUCGACGGCGGUGUUUGGCACCUCGAUGUCGGCUCAUCACAUCCUGGGGCUGAAGUAGGUCCCAAGGGUAUGGCUGUUCGCCAUUUAAAGUGGUACGCGAGCUGGGUUUAGAACGUCGUGAGACAGUUCGGUCCCUAUCUGCCGUGGGCGCUGGAGAACUGAGGGGGGCUGCUCCUAGUACGAGAGGACCGGAGUGGACGCAUCACUGGUGUUCGGGUUGUCAUGCCAAUGGCACUGCCCGGUAGCUAAAUGCGGAAGAGAUAAGUGCUGAAAGCAUCUAAGCACGAAACUUGCCCCGAGAUGAGUUCUCCCUGACUCCUUGAGAGUCCUGAAGGAACGUUGAAGACGACGACGUUGAUAGGCCGGGUGUGUAAGCGCAGCGAUGCGUUGAGCUAACCGGUACUAAUGAACCGUGAGG